CUGCUGCCUUCCGUAGGAGUCUGGUCCGUGUCUCAGUACCAGUGUGGGGGACCUUCCUCUCAGAACCCCUAGACAUCGUCGCCUUGGUGGGUCGUUACCCCGCCAACAAGCUAAUGUCACGCAUGCCCAUCCGUCUCCGGAGUCGCCUCCUUUGGCCGAAAGAAGAUGCCUCCCCUCGGCCACAUGCGGUAUUAGGCCGGAUUUCUCCGGGUUAUCCCGCUGAAACGGGCAGGUUGCAUGCGCGUUACUCACCCGUGCGCCGGUCG
rnacentral:rRNA from 1 species